rnacentral:sRNA from 1 species
GUGGAAUUAGUGGGGACUGAACUCUUCUCUCCUCGGAGCAGGCAGAGCCUGGACAGGGUCAGUAAGUGCUUCCCCCUGGAAAGCCGGUCACUGUGCCUCUAUUGUAAACUGGAAGGGACCCAGCUGGGGACGAGAGGGGAGCUCAGGCCCCGUGGCCCAUUCAAUCCUUGGCCUGG